GACGCGCCCACAUGCCCCACCCGAGGCUACAAGCAACCAAUCAGAAAAGCAAACAGAUUUCCUAUUUACUCUGCCAAUCAACUCUGGGACUUUUCAAGGAUUGAACUAACCCCGGGAGCAUUCUGACCAACCCAAUGCUGAACUAAGAACAUAGCUGAGUGGUACAGUGUUCUGUCAUAUACAGAGUCUGGAUUCCACCCACAGAACAGAAAAAAUGGAAGAAGGAAAGAAAGAAAGGAAGGAAGGAAGGGGGGCUGGAGAGAUGGCUCAGUGGUUAAGAGCUCCGACUGCUCUUCCAGAGGUCCUGAGUUCAAUUCCCAGCAACCACAUGGUGGCUCACAACCAUCUGUAAUGAGAUCUGAUGCCCUCUUCUGGUGUACCUGAAGACAGCUACAGUGUACUCACAUAUAAUAAAUAAAUGAAUCUUUAAAAAAAGAAAAGAAAACAUUUCUUGUUAAUCAGCUGCUUACAUAACAUAAAAAACACAAUUGGGGAAAGAGAAUGCUAGAUAUGUGCUAUUGGGGAAGACUCUCGGCUCUGGGUCAGACUUUAAACUCUGUUAACUGGGCUGGGCUGAGGGUGCAUGCAGCUCAGUGGCAGAGCCCCUGCCAAGUAUAUGUGAGGCUCUGGGUUUCAUCUCCAGCAUCAAAAAAUAAACAAACAAACAAACACACACAAAAAAAAAA